rnacentral:rRNA from 1 species
AUUGAACGCUGGCAGCAUGCUUUACACAUGCAAGUCGAACGGUAACAGGCCUUCGGGCGCUGACGAGUGGCGAACGGGUGAGUAAUGCAUCGGAACGUGCCCAGUCGUGGGGGAUAACGCAGCGAAAGCUGUGCUAAUACCGCAUACGAUCUGCGGAUGAAAGCGGGGGACCUUCGGGCCUCGCGCGAUUGGACCGGCCGAUGUCAGAUUAGGUAGUUGGUGGGGUAAAGGCUCACCAAGCCAACGAUCUGUAGCUGGUCUGAGAGGACGACCAGCCACACUGGGACUGAGACACGGCCCAGACUCCUACGGGAGGCAGCAGUGGGGAAUUUUGGACAAUGGGCGCAAACCUGAUCCAGCAAUGCCGCGUGCAGGAAGAAGGCCUUCGGGUUGUAAACUGCUUUUGUACGGAGCGAAAAGGCUCCCUCUAAUACAGGGGGCUCAUGAUGGUACCGUAAGAAUAAGCACCGGCUAACUACGUGCCAGCCGCCGCCGUAACAC